AUCCCAUGGUGCGGACAUGCUUGAACAUAUUCUUGCAUGCGCUCCCAUGCUUCAGGGACAGAUUCUUGGUUUUCCUGUUGAAAGUUAGAAAUUUUACUACAAAAAAGAUU
rfam:Sorghum bicolor cultivar BTx623 chromosome 5, whole genome shotgun sequence.